GACGAACGCUGGCGGCGUGCUUAACACAUGCAAGUCGAGCGAUGAAGCUCCUUCGGGAGUGGAUUAGCGGCGGACGGGUGAGUAACACGUGGGUAACCUGCCUCAUAGAGGGGAAUAGCCUUUCGAAAGGAAGAUUAAUACCGCAUAAGAUUGUAGUAUCGCAUGAUACAGCAAUUAAAGGAGUAAUCCGCUAUGAGAUGGACCCGCGUCGCAUUGGGUAGUUGGUGAGGUAACGGCCCACCAAGGCGACGAUGCGUAGCCGACCUGGGAGGGUGAUCGGCCACAGUGGGACUGAGACACGGCCCAGACUCCUACGGGAGGCAGCAGUGGGGAAUAUUGCACUAUGGGGGAAACCCUGAUGCAGCAACGCCGCGUGAGUGAUGACGGUCUUCGGAUUGUAAAGCUCUGUCUUCAGGGACGAUAAUGACGGUACCUGAGGAGGAAGCCACGGCUAACUACGUGCCAGCCGCCGCUGUAAGAC
rnacentral:rRNA from 1 species